UUUUAUGAGAGUUUGAUCCUGGCUCAGGACGAACGCUGGCGGCGUGCCUAAUACAUGCAAGUCGAACGCUUCUUUUUCCACCGGAGCUUGCUCCACCGGAAAAAGAAGAGAGUCUCUCGGCACCGGAACACGUGGGUCCCGUACACACCCACAGGCG
rnacentral:rRNA from 1 species